rnacentral:rRNA from 1 species
UGGUGAUCAUAUCGCAAGGGAACCACCCGUUCUCAUACCGAACACGGAAGUUAAGCCUUGCAGAGCCGAUGGUACUUGUCUGGACACGGACCGGGAGAGCAGGACAUCGCC